AUUGAACGCUGGCGGCAGGCUUAACACAUGCAAGUCGAGCGGUAGCACAGGGGAGCUUGCUCCCUGGGUGACGAGCGGCGGACGGGUGAGUAAUGUCUGGGAAACUGCCUGAUGGAGGGGGAUAACUACUGGAAACGGUAGCUAAUACCGCAUAACGUCGCAAGACCAAAGAGGGGGACCUUCGGGCCUCUUGCCAUCAGAUGUGCCCAGAUGGGAUUAGCUAGUAGGUGGGGGUAAUGGCUCACCUAGGCGACGAUCCCUAGCUGGUCUGAGAGGAUGACCAGCCACACUGGAACUGAGACACGGUCCAGACUCCUACGGGAGGCAGCAGUGGGGAAUAUUGCACAAUGGGCGCAAGCCUGAUGCAGCCAUGCCGCGUGUGUGAAGAAGGCCUUCGGGUUGUAAAAGCACUUUCAGCGAGGAGGAAGGUGGUGAGCUUAAUACGUUCAUCAAUUGACGUUACUCGCAGAAGAAGCACCGGCUAACUCCGUGCCAGCAGCCGCGGUAAUACGGAGGGUGCAAGCGUUAAUCGGAAUUACUGGGCGUAAAGCGCACGCAGGCGGUUUGUUAAGUCAGAUGUGAAAUCCCCGGGCUCAACCUGGGAACUGCAUUUGAAACUGGCAAGCUAGAGUCUCGUAGAGGGGGGGUAGAAUUCCAGGUGUAGCGGUGAAAUGCGUAGAGAUCUGGAGGAAUACCGGUGGCGAAGGCGGCCCCUGGACGAAGACUGACGCUCAGGUGCGAAAGCGUGGGGAGCAAACAGGAUUAGAUACCCUGGUAGUCCACGCUGUAAACGAUGUCGAUUUGGAGGUUGUGCCCUUGAGGCGUGGCUUCCGGAGCUAACGCGUUAAAUCGACCGCCUGGGGAGUACGGCCGCAAGGUUAAAACUCAAAUGAAUUGACGGGGGCCCGCACAAGCGGUGGAGCAUGUGGUUUAAUUCGAUGCAACGCGAAGAACCUUACCUACUCUUGACAUCCAGAGAACUUUCCAGAGAUGGAUUGGUGCCUUCGGGAACUCUGAGACAGGUGCUGCAUGGCUGUCGUCAGCUCGUGUUGUGAAAUGUUGGGUUAAGUCCCGCAACGAGCGCAACCCUUAUCCUUUGUUGCCAGCGGUUCGGCCGGGAACUCAAAGGGAGACUGCCAGUGAUAAACUGGAGGAAGGUGGGGAUGACGUCAAGUCAUCAUGGCCCCUUACGAGUAGGGCUACACACGUGCUACAAAUGGCAUAUACAAAGAGAAGCGACCUCGCGAGAGCAAGCGGACCUCAUAAAGUAUGUCGUAGUCCGGAUUGGAGUCUGCAACUCGACUCCAUGAAGUCGGAAUCGCUAGUAAUCGUAGAUCAGAAUGCUACGGUGAAUACGUUCCCGGGCCUUGUACACACCGCCCGUCACACCAUGGGAGUGGGUUGCAAAAGAAGUAGGUAGCUUAACCUUCGGGAGGGCGCUUACCACUUUGUGAUUCAUGACUGGGGUGAAGUCGUAACAAGGUAACCGUAGGGGAACC
rnacentral:rRNA from 1 species